rnacentral:lncRNA from 13 species
GGGAGAAUUUGGGAUAAAGAGAGGGAUUUCAGCCAAAAAUCGCCGGGAAUUCCGGGAGAAUUUGGGAUAAAGAUUUCAGUCAAAAAUCGCCGGGAAUUGGGGAUUUUUCCAAGCAGGAUUUCGCGGGGUUUUCCAGGAAAAUCGGGGCCGCGCGGGGUGCUGGAGGGAAUUCCCGGGGUUUUUGUCCCAAGCCCCUUUUUUGGGGGGGAAAUCCCAUUUAUUUUGGGUGGAAAAUUCCCGUUUUUUGGAGCCAAGUCGCGAUUUUCACCACAAUUCACCGUUUUCCCGGGGAAAUUUGACCUUUUCCGGACGGAAUUCCCGGAUUUUUGGGGUCCCGACCCCCCCGUUCUGCUCCCAGCCCCCAUUUUGGGGAAAAUCCGCCGGUUCUGGGGGGAAAAUCCCCGUUUUUCCGUGGGAAUUCCCCGUUUUUGGCCAAAUUUCGCCAUUUUGGGGGGAAAAGCAGCGGUUUUGGGGCUCUGGUCCCAGUAUAGCCCAGUACAGACCAGUACGGGACCAGUACGGGACCAGUGCCAGCACCCCCAGCACCCCCAGCUGCCCCAGCUUUACCAGUACAAACCAGUACAGCCCAGUGUUGACCAGUACAGACCAGUACGGACCAGUACAGCCCAGUAUGGACCAGUACUGACCAGUACAGACCAGUACGGGACCAGUAUGGGACCAGUACGGGCACCCCCAGCUGCCCCAGCUUUACCAGUACAGACCAGUACAGACCAGUACGGGCCAGUACGGGCCAGUACGGACCAGUACGGACCAGUACGGACCAGUACGGGACCAGUACCAGCACCCCCAGCUGCCCCAGCUUUACCAGUACAGAUCAGUACAGACCAGUACUGGACCAGUACCAGCCCCUCCAGCUGCCCCAGCUUUACCAGUACUGACCAGUACAGACCAGUACUGACCAGUACUGACCAGUACAGGCACCCGCAGCUGCCCCAGCUUGACCAGUACAGGACCAGUACAGAACCAGUAUGA